AGAUUGAACGCUGGCGGCAGGCCUAACACAUGCAAGUCGAGUGGUAGAGAGGUGCUUGCACCUCUUGAGAGCGGCGGACGGGUGAGUAAUGCCUAGGAAUCUGCCUAGUGGUGGGGGAUAACGUUCGGAAACGGACGCUAAUACCGCAUACGUCCUACGGGAGAAAGCGGGGGACCUUCGGGCCUCGCGCCAUUAGAUGAGCCUAGGUCGGAUUAGCUAGUUGGUGAGGUAAUGGCUCGACCAAAGGCGACGAUCCGUAACUGGUACUGAGAGGAUGAUCAGUCUACACUGGAACUGCGACACGGUCCAGACUCCUACGGGAGGCAGCAGUGGGAAUAUUGGACAAGUCGGGACGAAAGCCUAGACUCCAGCCAUGCCGCG
rnacentral:rRNA from 1 species